GGAAUAGUCAUAUCCUGAAGUUUAAAAAGAAAGAAGCAAUUUGGAAUGGUCACAUGAUUCCUGCUCUGAGAUUCCAGGAGUUUGCUCCCCUGGUGUCCUGAUGCUUUCAAACAGUUCCAGGGUUCAAACCUGGGGCCUCUCACAUGGUUUCCAGCUGUUGCUGGAGGAAUCAUGACCGACUGGAUGUGGGGUUGCUUGGAUGCCUGUUCUCAAGAGAGCUCUGACAGAGUAAGUGACAAAUAGACCAUUAAAGGCACAUUUAUUCAAAGCAGGGAUCAAAAGUGAGGACUCCUCAUCAAAUUUCUGCUUCCUGAUGGAUUUUGUUGUUGUUGUUCUGGUGGCUGGAUCAUCCAACUCUACCACUCAAGGAAGACUGGUUUUAUAAUGAGCGCAGCCUAGAAUCUUCCCCACUGUGAACAUGAACUGUGGACUCUGACUGAUAGGGACCAGAAGCUACUCAGGCUCCUGUGGUAAAUACUAAUAUACAUGGGGUGUGUGUCAGAAUGAUGUGAUAAAGUGUUAUUCUGCAUCUCCAAAAGAAUUUUGCUUUUUUUCCUCUCAGAGGAGGAAAUGUUAGGGGGAGAUGAGUAGGUUCUGAACCCCAGUUCCACCAGGACCUGGAACUUUAGUGAUCAGGAACCUUUAUUUUUGCCCCAUUGCUGAGAGAGAAGAGAAUUUGGAAAACACCUGAAUAAGUGAAGUCCUGUUUUCUUUAUCCAAGAGGGAAAAGGUAAAAAGGGCAUCACACCUGGCAGUUGUAAUGGGUGUAAGUGUGGCUCAGAAAGAAAGCGAAGGUGGGUGGGGCCUUAGGAGGAAGUAAAAACAUGUAAUAAGUUCCACAUGGGGUUAUUCAUCUGUACCCAAAUGACCCACAUACUUCGCUGAUACGUGCCUUUUCAUUUUCUUGACUAAAAGUUUUAAAUAAAAAAAAGGAAGGAAGGAAGGAAGGAAGAAAGGGAGGAAGGGAGAAAGAAAGAAAGAAAGAAAAAAAGAAAGAAAGAAAGACCCAUAAGGAAUACUUAGAUGGAGUUAGGGGCUUAAAAUCCUUUAGAUAAAAGUCUUAUAAGAAAAAAGAAGUCAUGGAAUAUAUACUCAAUGAAGUACAACUCAGCAGUUAAAAAGACUGUAUUGUGUCUUUUGGGACAAAUUGAGUAAAACUGGAGGUGCUGAUGCUUAGUGAAGUAAAGAAGGGAGUAAGGAGAACUGUGGGAUGCUCUCAGUCGUAUGUGGAAUAUGGAGAAUUGAAGCUUGUGAACUUGAAAAACGACAAGAAAACCCCACACAUCUUUAUUUAUAGUCACCCCCCCCCAUAUCUAUGACCUUUCGAGAACUAUGUUGGAUACCAUUGAAGGGUUUGGGAGGGGGAGCACAGAACUUUGGUGGUGGGAGUGGUGUGGAGGUCUAACCCUAUUAUCUUAUCAUUUAGUAAAACACUAUUAAAUCAAAAAGAAAUAAAUUGUUUAGCAAAAGAAGAAAGGCAGUGAACUUCUAGCUGUUGAGAUAAAGCAAAGAAUUAUUGCACUGAAAUAGAGAUAGUCUUGAGACUCAUGAACAAAAGAUAAUAAAAAUAAGGGAGAUUGGAGAUAAGUGAGGGCUUCUCAGUUUCUGUGGAGCCUGAUCAUAUUCCUUAUACAUACUUCCUU